GAAAUCUUCAAAGUUAAAAUCUUUUGUUAACUCAAUUGGUUUCUACUUUGGUAUUGGAGGUCUUUGCAGCUUCACACCUGCUCCUCUUUGUUCAUUAGCUGGAUCUCAGUGUUAUGCUUGGUUCCACUCGGCGUGAUAAGUUAUCUAUCGCUGAGGACACUGUAAAAAGUGGCCAAGGUAAAUGCAGAUGAACCGCUUCUAAUAGUCCAUUGACUUGGACAAUACUUUUAUGAUCUGAUCUCAAAUCAGGUAGGACUACCCGCUGAACUUAA
rnacentral:misc_RNA from 1 species